GAUGAGAACGUAGCGAAAUGCGAUAAGUAAUGUGAAUUGCAGAAUUCAGUGAAUCAUCGAAUCUUUGAACGCACAUUGCGCCCCCUGGCAUUCCGGGGGGCAUGCCUGUUCGAGCGUCAUUACAACCCUCAAGCUCUGCUUGGUAUUGGGCUCUGCCGGUCCCGGCAGGCCUUAAAAUCAGUGGCGGUGCCACUCGGCUUCAAGCGUAGUAAUUCUUCUCGCUUCGGAGACCCGGGUGCGUGCUAGCCAGCAACCCCCAACUUUCUCAGGUUGACCUCGGAUCAGGUAGGGAUACCCGCUGAACUUAAGCAUAUCAAUAAGCGGAGGA
rnacentral:misc_RNA from 1 species